rnacentral:rRNA from 1 species
GACCGGCGCACGGGUGAGUAACGCGUAUGCAAUCUACCUCUUACUGGGGUAUAGCCCAGAGAAAUUUGGAUUAAUCCCCCAUAGUACCAUUUGAUCGCAUGAUCAGUUGGUUAAAGGUUACGGUAAGAGAUGAGCAUGCGUCCCAUUAGUUAGUUGGCGAGGUAACGGCUCACCAAGACUUCGAUGGGUAGGGGUUCUGAGAGGAUGACCCCCCACACUGGUACUGAGACACGGACCAGACUCCUACGGGAGGCAGCAGUGAGGAAUAUUGCGCAAUGGACGAAAGUCUGACGCAGCCAUGCCGCGUGCAGGAAGACGGCGCUACGCGUUGUAAACUGCUUUUAUUUACAAAGAAACCUCAGGACGUGUCCUGAGCUGACGGUAGUAUUUGAAUAAGCACCGGCUAACUCCGUGCCAGCAGCCGCGGUAAUACGGAGGGUGCAAGCGUUAUCCGGAUUUAUUGGGUUUAAAGGGUCCGUAGGUGGACAAUUAAGUCAGCGGUGAAAUCCCACAGCUCAACUGUGGAACUGCCAUUGAUACUGGUUGUCUUGAGUACGUUAGAAGUUGGCGGAAUAGGUCAUGUAGCGGU